GAAAGAUGUUGUUAUAAUUAUCUUUGUGUUUCACUACCAGCAUCUAUUGGCAAUAAAUUAUUUUUUUCCCAAGACAAAUCUGUUUCACUUGCAACAGUAACUUGUAAGCAAUCUCCUUGUCUUUAUCUCAACCUACGAGCUUUGCUAUCCUAUUUGCUCACCUGCACUGCUGAGGAGGGCUUGUGAAUGAGCAGCUGAGUGGGAGUUCAGCUGUUUGCUGAGACAAACCCACCACAAAAGUGAAACCCCACCACAAAAGUGAAACAAUCCCAAUGUGUCAAGCAUGCAAAGAACAAGGACUUUCUCAACCUGGAGAGCCUCUCAACCCAAGGAAAUACUGCAAAAGUAUACCUCCAGGACAAAUCACAGGUUGCCUCACUUCCGUCAAUCUUAUGCAUCUGUGCACAUUCUGAAGAUGGUGGUCACUUCCACAAAAUUCUGUGCAGGAUUCAUUUAAAGCCUUUCUGCUCCUCAGAAUGACCUUGUGAAGUUUUGCAAGAUGCAGUGGAUUGGAGUUAGUGUUUGAACAUCAGACCACCUUUGGAAAAGCAAGGUUGUUUCCACUGAUGUAGUUCCAGCUGAUGAAGCUCCAUCUUUUCAACUCACGUUGAGUCAUUGGCAACUCUUCUCUUAGGCUGAGCACCAGCUCUGUGACCUUUUGAAAUAGAAAUUAAAGUCAAGUUUUAGUUGCCCACAGUUGACAAGAGACUGUGUGGCACUAAUG